rnacentral:misc_RNA from 1 species
GAAAUGCGAUAAGUAAUGUGAAUUGCAGAAUUCAGUGAAUCAUCGAAUCUUUGAACGCACCUUGCGCUCCUUGGUAUUACUUGGAGCAUGCCUGUUUGAGUAUCAUGAAAUCUUCAAAGUAAAUCUUUUGUUAACUCAAUUGGUUUCUACUUUGGUAUUGGAGGUCUUUGCAGCUUCACACCUGCUCCUCUUUGUUCAUUAGCUGGAUCUCAGUGUUAUGCUUGGUUCCACUCGGCGUGAUAAGUUAUCUAUCGCUGAGGACACUGUAAAAGGUGGCCAAGGUAAAUGCAGAUGAACCGCUUCUAAUAGUCCAUUGACUUGGACAAUACUUUUAUGAUCUGAUCUCAAAUCAGGUAGGACUACCCGCUGAACUUAAGC